GGGGUUGUAGCUCAGUGGUAGAGCUCACAUACUUGCAUAGCACAUGUGAAGCACUGGGUUCGAUCCCCAGCACCA
rnacentral:tRNA from 1 species